GAUACUUCUGGUCAGGAAAGAUACGAAAUUUCUUUCUUUGCAGAUAUUAAAAAAAAUCUGUGGUCAAUGUCCAGCCCUCAACCAAGUAAGUAACUGGGAGGACCAUGCUGAUCUGGAUUCUGAAGAGUGGAAUGUAUUAUUGUAAAGCCUCCCAAGAUUCGUUGCAUGAAAAUGCUAAAACAUCUGUUGAGGACUUAUUUAAAGAUUCUGAAACUUUUAAACACUGUCUGAAAGUAAACUGCAAC
rnacentral:lncRNA from 12 species